GGAAAGGCAUUCAUUCUCUCCCUGCCCCUCACUCCCUUAUACUAAAUGCGUUGACAGGAAGCAGUUCAGAUGUUUUUAAAAUUUAUGGUAUUUGCAUAGGCUUUACUAGCCUGAAAACCUGAACUCUCCCAACUGAUACUGUUUGUUUCUGAUUGGGGGUGCCAACUGUGUUCCUCUUAUACUGUUGGUGAAAGCUAAGGUUUGAAGAGGCCUAACACAACCAAACACAUAGCUAGGAAGGAGAGAGAAUAGAGGAUCUCCUGCUUCUGAGAUAACACUCCUCUUCUGAUCUUUUUAUUUAUUUAUCUAUCUAUUGAUUUAUUUAUUAUAAGUACACUGUCGCUGUCUUCAGACACAUCAGAAGAGAGAGCAUCAUCUCAUUACAGAUGGUUGUGAGCCACCACGUGGUUGCUGGGAUUUGAACUCAGGACCUCUGGAAGACCAGUCAGUGCUCUUAACCACUGAGCCAUCUCUCCAGACCCCGACUCCUUUAAAAAAGGCUUGGAACGCAUGCUGUCUGCAGUUGAGGCAAAGGCAGUCUCUUGCCCGGUGUCAGCCUGAAGCAAAUUCGGUGUGGAGGGUCCUCAGUGCUCAUCGUCUUUUUUGAAAUGGAAUGGAGGCUGAUGUGUCUCAUUGUCAAAGAGCGAACAAACAAACAAAACACAUUUUUAUCAAUAAAACAUUUUUAAAUGCCA